GACGAACGCUGGCGGCGUGCCUAAUACAUGCAAGUCGAACGAGAGCGACCGGUGCUUGCACUGGUCAAUCUAGUGGCGAACGGGUGAGUGACACGUGGGUAACCUGCCCAUCAGAGGGGGAUAACAUCCGGAAACGGAUGCUAAAACCGCAUAGGUCUUCGAGCCGCAUGGCUUGAAGAGGAAAAGAGGCGCAAGCUUCUGCUGAUGGAUGGACCCGCGGUGCAUUAGCUAGUUGGUGAGGUAACGGCUCACCAAGGCCGUGAUGCAUAGCCGACCUGAGAGGGUGAUCGGCCACAUUGGGACUGAGACACGGCCCAAACUCCUACGGGAGGCAGCAGUAGGGAAUCUUCCGCAAUGGACGCAAGUCUGACGGAGCAACGCCGCGUGAGUGAAGAAGGUUUUCGGAUCGUAAAACUCUGUUGUUAGAGAAGAACAAGUGCUAGAGUAACUGUUAGCGCCUUGACGGUAUCUAACCAGAAAGCCACGGCUAACUACGUG
rnacentral:rRNA from 1 species